UAUAGUUGAUGCUUUUUAUUAAGCACAAUUGAAAAUCAACGUUUCACGUUUUCACUGAAACGUCAGUUUUUAAUUGUGCUGAAUAAAAAGCAUCAGCUAUAUUUUUUUACCAGACUCCUGAGUGCACUCUUCUUGUUUUCAUUUAUUGUGGCUGGAAUUGGCACCGGGGCAACUAUAAGACCGGGAAACUUGUAUACAUAAAGACUAAAAGGACUCACUAGGGUUAAGGAUAACAGAAGUUCCACUCUUUGUUUACAACAUUAG